rnacentral:rRNA from 1 species
UGGCUCAGUAACACGUGGAGAAUCUAACCUUUGGUGGAGGAUAAUCUCGGGAAACUGAGAAUAAUACUCCAUAAACAUAGGAUGCUGGAAUGCUUCUAUGUUGAAAGGCAACGCCAAAGGAUGACUCUGCGACCUAUCAGGCUGUAGUGAGUGUAAUGGACUCACUAACCUGCAACGGGUACGGGUGUUGGAAGACACUGCCCAGAGAUGGACUCUGAGACAUGAGUCCAGGUUCUACGGAACGCAGCAGGCGCGAAAACUCCGCAAUGUACGAAAGUACGACGGGGGAAUUCUGAGUGCUUACGCCUUGCGUAGGCUGUUUUCUUGUCUAAAAAACAAGGAGAGUAAGGGCUGGGUAAGACGGGUGCCAUCUCGUGCAAUUCUGCACUUAUUGUGUUCGUUGCACGAAGCACAAGCCGCCGCGGUAAUACCCGCGGCCCGAGUGGUGCUCAUUAUUAUUGAGCCUAAAACGUCCGUAGCCGGUUUAAUAAAUUCUUGGGUAAAUCAUAUCGCUUAACGAUAUGAAUUCUGAGAACACUGCUAAACCCGGGAAUGGGAGAGGCCAGAGGUACUUUCAGGGUAGGGGUAAAAUCCCGUAAUCCUGAGAGGACCACCGGUGGCGAAGGCGUCUGGCUAGAACAUAUUCGACGGUAAGGGACGAAGCCCUGGGGCGCAAACGGGAUUAGAUACCCCGGUAGUCCAGGGUGUAAACGCUGUAGAUUUGGUGUUGGAAAUCCUACGGGGAUUCCCAGUGCCGGAGAGAAGUUGUUAAAUCUACUGCUUGGGGAGUACGGUCGCAAGACUGAAACUUAAAGGAAUUGGCGGGGGAGCACCGCAACGGGUGGAGCGUGCGGUUUAAUUGGAUUC